rnacentral:rRNA from 1 species
CCAGACUCCUACGGGAGGCAGCAGUGGGGAAUAUUGCACAAUGGGGGAAACCCUGAUGCAGCGACGCCGCGUGAGUGAAGAAGUAUUUCGGUAUGUAAAGCUCUAUCAGCAGGGAAGAAAAUGACGGUACCUGACCAAGAAGCCCCGGCUAACUACGUGCCAGCAGCCGCGGUAAUACGUAGGGGGCAAGCGUUAUCCGGAUUUACUGGGUGUAAAGGGAGCGUAGACGGUUGUGCAAGUCAGAAGUGAAAGCCCGGGGCUCAACUCCGGGACUGCUUUUGAAACUGUGAAACUGGAGUGCAGGAGAGGUAAGCGGAAUUCCUGGUGUAGCGGUGAAAUGCGUAGAUAUCAGGAGGAACACCGGCGGCGAAGGCGGCCUGCUGGACCGUAACUGACGUUGAGGCUCGAAAGCGUGGGGAGCAAACAGGAUUAGAUACCCGGGUACCU